CCUACGGGAGGCAGCAGUGAGGAAUAUUGGUCAAUGGGCGCUAGCCUGAACCAGCCAAGUAGCGUGAAGGAUGACUGCCCUAUGGGUUGUAAACUUCUUUUAUAUGGGAAUAAAGUGCAGUAUGUAUACUGCUUUGCAUGUACCUUAUGAAUAAGCAUCGGCUAACUCCGUGCCAGCAGCCGCGGUAAUACGGAGGAUCCGAGCGUUAUCCGGAUUUAUUGGGUUUAAAGGGUGCGUAGGCGGGUUGUUAAGUCAGUUGUGAAAUUUUGCGGCUCAACCGUAUAAUUGCAGUUGAUACUGGCAUCCUUGAGUGCAGUAGAGGUAGGCGGAAUUCGUGGUGUAGCGGUGAAAUGCAUAGAUAUCACGAAGAACUCCGAUUGCGAAGGCAGCCUGCUGGACUGUAACUGACGCUGAUGCUCGAAAGUGUGGGUAUCGAACAGGAUUAGAUACCCUAGUAGUC
rnacentral:rRNA from 1 species